UGUGUUAGUUUAUUGUAAAAAUAUUUUUUAAAACAGUUCGAUUGGGAUUUUAAAUCCUAAAACCAAAUAGCUCUUUGCUAAACUUGAACCAAAAUCCUAAUUUUUUUUAUAAAAAUCUCGUCGUCCUUUCCACUAUCGAUUCUGUUGCCUCUGUUUGCCGUGUCGUGUACCGCCCUCACCACUGUGUCCGUCAUCCAGUCGCGACCAAAACCUGACCACCAUCUCUCCGUUUGGCCCUGUUGUUCGCUGUGGAGAUCGCAUUGAAUAUUCGUCGGAAAACAAAGGUUCUCCAUAAGGUUUUGUCGAUUUCGUGCUGAUCUCAAUUUCUGUUCACCUCACCGCCAUCGCCGUUAGGUUCCCUGCCCUGUUCCGACAAAAACCCAAUCAGUUUUGUCCCUUCCCGCCGUUGUUUCCAACGACCACCAUUGGGGUCUUCCGAGCGUUCUGCUGUUGUCCAUGUCCCUGUCACCCUCCACACGUGCUGCCAUGCGCCUCCGCGAUGCGUGGCCUUUGUCCCUGCGAAUCUUCUGGAAAUCUAAGUCAACUCGAUCGAGUUUUAUAUUGCACUUAUUGGAACAUACUGAUCUCCCUAGCUCACUCCCCUAUCUUUUUCUUUUAAGAUAUUUUGGAUAGGUACUCAGUCCCAACACUUGGAGGAUCGACACAUUCCGUACAGAAAUUUUAUUGUAAUGUUUCAAUAUUUAGAAUUGCCUUUAUUUUUGGUGUCA